GUGGGGAAUUUUGGACAAUGGGCGCAAGCCUGAUCCAGCCAUGCCGCGUGCAGGAUGAAGGCCUUCGGGUUGUAAACUGCUUUUGUACGGAACGAAAAGACUCUUUCUAAUAAAGAGGGUCCAUGACGGUACCGUAAGAAUAAGCACCGGCUAACUACGUGCCAGCAGCCGCGGUAAUACGUAGGGUGCGAGCGUUAAUCGGAAUUACUGGGCGUAAAGCGUGCGCAGGCGGUGAUGUAAGACAGAUGUGAAAUCCCCGGGCUCAACCUGGGAACUGCAUUUGUGACUGCAUGGCUAGAGUGCGUCAGAGGGGGGUGGAAUUCCGCGUGUAGCAGUGAAAUGCGUAGAGAUGCGGAGGAACACCGAUGGCGAAGGCAGCCCCCUGGGAUGACACUGACGCUCAUGCACGAAAGCGUGGGGAGCAAACAGGAUUAGAAACCCUAGUAGUCC
rnacentral:rRNA from 1 species